rnacentral:tRNA from 1 species
AAGGGAGACCUAAUUCCGGUAGGAGACGAAAAAAAAGUAGUCCCAACCAAGAAUCAAUCCCAAAAGGUCGGAACGAAGUAUGAGGCUUUCAAACUAGGUUCUGGGUUCAUAAAAGACCUGAAUCAGGAACAAGGGCUAUUAGCUCAGGUGGUUAGAGCGCACCCCUGAUAAGGGUGAGGUCCCUGGUUCGAGUCCAGGAUGGCCCACCUGCACAGGUGGCAAAAACAAGAGAAGCUCCGAAUCAGCACCUUAUCUUAUAUACAUAUAUAAGAGAGAAUGCUGGCUCUGAGUAAAGAGUCCAGAGGAGCCUUGAAAACUGCAUAGAGCUAGGUGAAAAAGCCAAAAAAGAAGACCGCAA